GUUGUCUUGGCCGAGUGUUAUGGCCAUAGAAUAGAAAUCUUUUGGGAUAUUCUCGCGCAGGUUCGAAUCUUGCCGACAACG
rnacentral:tRNA from 1 species